AACCAGCUCUUCAAGUGGUCGGGAUGAUUAUUGGGCUUAAAGUGUCCGUAGCCGGUUUAGUAAGUUCCUGGUAAAAUCAGGUAGCUUAACUAUCUGUAUGCUAGGAAUACUACUAUACUAGAGGGCGGGAGAGGUCUGAGGUACUACAGGGGUAGGGGUGAAAUCUUAUAAUCCUUGUAGGACCACCAGUGGCGAAGGCGUCAGACUGGAACGUGCCUGACGGUGAGGGACGAAAGCCAGGGGAGCGAACCGGAUUAGAUACCCGGGUAGUCCUGGCCGUAAACGAUGCAUACUAGGUGAUGGCCCGGCCAUGAGCCGUGUCAGUGCCGUAGGGAAACCGUUAAGUGUGCCGCCUGGGAAGUACGGUCGCAAGGCUAAAACGUUAAGGGAAUUGGCGGGGGAGCACCACAAGGGGUGAAGCCCGCGGUUC
rnacentral:rRNA from 1 species